UGGGGAAUUUUGGACAAUGGGCGAAAGCCUGAUCCAGCAAUGCCGCGUGUGUGAAGAAGGCCUUCGGGUUGUAAAGCACUUUUGUCCGGAAAGAAAUCCUUGGCUCUAAUACAGUCGGGGGAUGACGGUACCGGAAGAAUAAGCACCGGCUAACUACGUGCCAGCAGCCGCGGUAAUACGUAGGGUGCAAGCGUUAAUCGGAAUUACUGGGCGUAAAGCGUGCGCAGGCGGUUUGCUAAGACCGAUGUGAAAUCCCCGGGCUCAACCUGGGAACUGCAUUGGUGACUGACAGGCUAGAGUAUGGCAGAGGGGGGUUAGAAUUCCACGUGUAGCAGUGAAAUGCGUAGAGAUGUGGAGGAAUACCGAUGGCGAAGGCAGCCCCCUGGGCCAAUACUGACGCUCAUGCACGAAAGCGUGGGGAGCAAACAGGAUUAGAUACCCUGGUAGUCCACGCCCUAAACGAUGUCAACUAGUUGUUGGGGAUUCAUUUCCUUAGUAACGUAGCUAACGCGUGAAGUUGACCGCCUGGGGAGUACGGUCGCAAGAUUAAAACUCAAUGAAUUGACGGGGUCAUAGCUGUUUCCU
rnacentral:rRNA from 1 species